rnacentral:rRNA from 1 species
AAUGUGAAUUGCAGAAUUCAGUGAAUCAUCGAAUCUUUGAACGCACAUUGCGCCCUUUGGUAUUCCGAAGGGCAUGCCUGUUCGAGCGUCAUUUCACCACUCAAGCCUGGCUUGGUAUUGGGCGUCGCGGUGUUCCGCGCGCCUUAAAGUCUAAAAACUGAG